rnacentral:rRNA from 1 species
GUUAAGCGACUAAGCGUACACGGUGGAUGCCCUGGCAGUCAGAGGCGAUGAAGGACGUGCUAAUCUGCGAUAAGCGUCGGUAAGGUGAUAUGAACCGUUAUAACCGGCGAUUUCCGAAUGGGGAAACCCAGUGUGAUUCGUCACACUAUCAUUAACUGAAUCCAUAGGUUAAUGAGGCGAACCGGGGGAACUGAAACAUCUAAGUACCCCGAGGAAAAGAAAUCAACCGAGAUUCCCCCAGUAGCGGCGAGCGAACGGGGAGCAGCCCAGAGCCUGAAUCAGUGUGUGUGUUAGUGGAAGCGUCUGGAAAGGCGUGCGAUACAGGGUGACAGCCCCGUACACAAAAAUGCACAUACUGUGAGCUCGAUGAGUAGGGCGGGACACGUGGUAUCCUGUCUGAAUAUGGGGGGACCAUCCUCCAAGGCUAAAUACUCCUGACUGACCGAUAGUGAACCAGUACCGUGAGGGAAAGGCGAAAAGAACCCCGGCGAGGGGAGUGAAAAAGAACCUGAAACCGUGUACGUACAAGCAGUGGGAGCACGCUUAGGCGUGUGACUGCGUACCUUUUGUAUAAUGGGUCAGCGACUUAUAUUCUGUAGCAAGGUUAACCGAAUAGGGGAGCCGAAGGGAAACCGAGUCUUAACUGGGCGUUAAGUUGCAGGGUAUAGACCCGAAACCCGGUGAUCUAGCCAUGGGCAGGUUGAAGGUUGGGUAACACUAACUGGAGGACCGAACCGACUAAUGUUGAAAAAUUAGCGGAUGACUUGUGGCUGGGGGUGAAAGGCCAAUCAAACCGGGAGAUAGCUGGUUCUCCCCGAAAGCUAUUUAGGUAGCGCCUCGUGAAUUCAUCUCCGGGGGUAGAGCACUGUUUCGGCAAGGGGGUCAUCCCGACUUACCAACCCGAUGCAAACUGCGAAUACCGGAGAAUGUUAUCACGGGAGACACACGGCGGGUGCUAACGUCCGUCGUGAAGAGGGAAACAACCCAGACCGCCAGCUAAGGUCCCAAAGUCAUGGUUAAGUGGGAAACGAUGUGGGAAGGCCCAGACAGCCAGGAUGUUGGCUUAGAAGCAGCCAUCAUUUAAAGAAAGCGUAAUAGCUCACUGGUCGAGUCGGCCUGCGCGGAAGAUGUAACGGGGCUAAACCAUGCACCGAAGCUGCGGCAGCGACGCUUAUGCGUUGUUGGGUAGGGGAGCGUUCUGUAAGCCUGUGAAGGUGUGCUGUGAGGUAUGCUGGAGGUAUCAGAAGUGCGAAUGCUGACAUAAGUAACGAUAAAGCGGGUGAAAAGCCCGCUCGC